rnacentral:rRNA from 1 species
UACGAAGGGUGCUAGCGUUGUUCGGAAUCACUGGGCGUAAAGCGCGCGUAGGCGGCUAUUCAAGUCAGGGGUGAAAUCCUUGGGCUCAACCCAAGAAUUGCCUUUGAAACUGCAUAGCUAGAGUGUCGGAGGGGAUAGCGGAAUUGCUAAUGUAGAGGUGAAAUUCGUAGAUAUUAGCAGGAACACCGGUGGCGAAGGCGGCUAUCUGGACGACAACUGACGCUGAGGCGCGAAAGCGUGGGGAUCAAACAGG